rnacentral:rRNA from 1 species
GACGAACCACACAAACGUUAUUCGGAAUUACUGGGCUUAAAGGGUGCGUAGGCGGCUUUUUAAGUCAGGGGUGAAAGACGGUAGCUCAACUAUCGCAGUGCCCUUGAUACUGAAGAGCUUGAAUACACUAGAGGUAGGCGGAAUGUGACAAGUAGCGGUGAAAUGCAUAGAUAUGUCACAGAACACCAAUUGCGAAGGCAGCUUACUAUGGUGUCAUUGACGCUGAGGCACGAAAGCGUGGGGAUCAAACAGG